GCUCGUCCGUUGCGAGGGCUUAGCCAACGACACGUGCCUUUGGGGGCCGGAGGGCCCCUACUGCUGGUCGGCAAACAAGCGGCGAACAACGCGUCGCUUCUGGCCUGAAUUCUGACUUAGAGGCGUUCAGUCAUAAUCCAGCGCACAGUAGCUUCACGCCACUGAAAAUGAAGUAGAAGAGCCCAGAUUCCAAAUGAACAAAUUCAAACUUAAAAAAAAUCUUUCUGAUUCUCGA
rnacentral:lncRNA from 1 species